rnacentral:rRNA from 1 species
UACGUAGGGUGCAAGCGUUAAUCGGAAUUACUGGGCGUAAAGCGUGCGCAGGCGGUUCGUUGUGUCUGCUGUGAAAUCCCCGGGCUCAACCUGGGAAUGGCAGUGGAAACUGGCGAGCUUGAGUGUGGCAGAGGGGGGUGGAAUUCCGCGUGUAGCAGUGAAAUGCGUAGAGAUGCGGAGGAACACCGAUGGCGAAGGCAACCCCCUGGGCUGACACUGACGCUCAGGCACGAAAGCGUGGGGAGCAAACAGG